AACUUCUGAAUGUGACCUCGGAUCAGGUAGA
rnacentral:rRNA from 1 species